GAGGGAAAACAGUUGACAUGAAGAUCUCCAUGAGUAAAGGUUAACAAUUAGAUGAUUAAUUUUUGUUAAUUACCGUUUAAACAAUUAAUCUUAUUCAUUUUUGUUCUUUAACUAAUUAAUAACCGUUUUGUUUCAUAUUCUAUUUGACGUUGUGUACGUGUUAAGGUGGUUUACAGUAUCUUUUAAGGAAAAUUAAUCGAAAGCAUCAACAUUAGCAUCAUCUCUCUCUCUCUCUUACUCGCUAUCUUUGACCAAUCUAUGUCAAGCUCGACUUGAUUUACUGGUGGCUUGUAAAAAGUUGGAACAUUUUCAAACGUUUUUCACGACCAAAUUGUUAAUUCUGCUGAUCAAUUUAAAUUCACUGUUAAAAGAGCUUAAACUCCUCAAGUACAUGUUAAGUUACUGAAUUUUAAGUGAUUGGGAGUCUUAAACUCACAAAUACGUAAUCGUGGCUGAGUUACCUCUUUUGUAUCCAAAUGAUGAUGGAGAUUACAAAGUUUACCACUUUCUUUUUACCUGACAUUUGGCGGAAAAAUAUGACAAGAUGAUGAUAGCUAUUCCAAUUAAUAAUACAACUUUUCAACUUGUUUUAAUUGAUUGAAUUUCUUUUUUUACUGGUGAAAAAGAGGAAGAAAAAAACUGUUGAUUUCUAUCGUUAAUACACCUUUCCCAUCAAGAUGAUGACGAUGAAACUAUUAGAGGUACUCCUUGUGCUCAAAUUAACAGCAUCUACUCAUCAUCACUUUACCAAUUGCUUUUAAUAGAUGAUGAAUUAUACAUAAAUCAUUAUAUCAAUUUCGUUCUUUAAGCUGCUUACUAAUUAACUUUUAAACAUUUCUAAUUACAGGCUAAUAAGCAAUCACCAUCAUUCGCUCGGAGGUAUAUGAAUUUUUGAAUAGAAAACCCUUGGAAAUCGUGUAACUACCUAACCAAUUGAAGAUUGAAAUUCUGCCUUCCUGAUUUACAAUUAAGUCCAUCAACUCUUAACUAUUAAUAAAUGAAUACCCUUGGUCUUUGUUCAAUCAAAACAAUAUCGACGAUGAUGAUGAUACAUUUGACUGAUUCAAGGAUAGUUACCAGAAAUUGAUGAUAAUCGAAAUUCUCAAAAUUUAAUUGCUCGUUAAAAGUCAACAAUAAAUGAUGUUUUCAUUUUUUUUUUCUUCUUCUACUAAAUGUAAACAAUGGCAAAAAAAAGGAUAUUGAAAUUAAAAAGAAAACAAAGAAAAAGGAAAAUAAAAAACAAAAUGGAUUCCAGAUUAACCUUGAAAAUGGAGAAACAAAUUAUCACAUCAAUGCUACCAUUGGAUUUUUCUUAUGUCCAUUUGAUUUGGAUUAUUGUUAUGGAUGAUUCUGAUCAUGAUUCUCGAAAUCAACUGACCAUUACAAUUUCCUGAUUAAUUUACCAACUGAUUACAAUCAAUUUGUAUAUCUCACCAAACAAUUAAACAGGAGAAGGGUGGAAAUCAAGUUGAUCAUUUUCAAAACUACCGUUAACCAAUUGUUAUUACCAUUUAAUCAUUAUUCUGAUCUUGAUGCCUUGAUUUGAUUAUUAUUACCAAGAUAUUAAUCAUAAUGUUAAUUCAUUGAUUAUCUUGCUAAUCUAAUUGUGAUGAAACAAUUUGAUAAUAAUAAAAAGGUUGAUUUGAUUCCUUCCGAUCAACUUUUUUAUAUCAUUAAUUGUUGUCUCGUUUUUUUUUCACAAAUCACCAUUGAUUU